UCAAGAAUAUUAGUCAAUGCUCGCCAGAGUGAACUAGCUAACUGGAAUCAUGAGUGUGUCACUUGUGAUAAGGUAAAGGAAAAAUUAUGAUGUCACUUUACUAGUAGUGUUGUCCAAAGCUGGUGCCAGAAGACUCGGUAAUGCCAGAGACGCAAGCGUUAGUCAUCCUGAUCAGGCGUAAAGGGUAUGUAGGCAGCUUUAAAAAUAAUUAAAGAUAGAAUCAUAUAGAGGUCACUUUUAGAGAAUUCUUAGAGAAGGGUUGAUAUCUGUAGAUACUAAGAGGAAUACUAAUUAGCGAAGGCACUUUUCCAAAUUAUGAUUGACGCUGAGAAACGAAGGGGAGGAUAGAAAAUAGGAUUGGAGACCCUGGUAUUCCUCUCUGUCAACGAUGAAUGGUAGUUGCUAGUAUAAAUUUAUUAGUGACGAUGCUAACGCGUUAACCAUUCCGCCUUGUGAGUACGACUGCAAAGUUGAAAACAAAAAAAUUAGUCGGUUUCGGAGCAA
rnacentral:rRNA from 1 species